UCGCAGAUCAGAAUGCUGCGGUGAAUGCGUUCCCGGGUCUUGUACACACCGCCCGUCACACCACGGGAGGUGGAGACGCCCGAAGCCGAUUAUCUAACCUUUUGGAAGAAGUCGUCGAAGGUGGAAUCAAUAACUGGGGUGAAGUCGUAACAAGGUAGCCGUAUCGGAAGGUGCGGCUGGAUCACCUCCUUUCUAAGGAGA
rnacentral:rRNA from 1 species